rnacentral:rRNA from 1 species
AGAGUUUGAUCCUGGCUCAGGACGAACGCUGGCGGCGCGCCUAACACAUGCAAGUCGAACGGGACUGUUCAAUCGGAAGUUUUCGGAUGGAAGAGUGGACAGUUUAGUGGCGAACGGGUGAGUAACGCGUGAGUAACCUGCCCUUCAGAGGGGGACAACAGUUGGAAACGACUGCUAAUACCGCAUAAGCCCACGGUACCACAUGGUACAGUGAGAAAAGGAGAAAUCCGCUGAAAGAUGGACCCGCGUCUGAUUAGAUAGUUGGUGGGGUAACGGCCUACCAAGUCGACGAUCAGUAGCCGGACUGAGAGGUUGAACGGCCACAUUGGGACUGAGAGACGGCCCAGACUCCUACGGGAGGCAGCAGUGGGGAAUAUUGCACAAUGGGGGGAACCCUGAUGCAGCGACGCCGCGUGAAGGAAGAAGGUAUUCGUAUUGUAAACUUCUGUCGCAGAUGACGAAAAGAUGACGGUAAUCUGUAAGAAAGCACCGGCUAACUACGUGCCAGCAGCCGCGGUAAAACGUAGGGUGCUAGCGUUGUCCGGAAUUACUGGGUGUAAAGGGAGCGCAGGUGGCAGUGCAAGUUGGAUGUAAAAUCUACGGGCUCAACCCGUAUAAGCAUUCAAAACUGUGCAGCUUGAGUGAAGUAGAGGUAGGUGGAAUUUCCGGUGUAGCGGUGGAAUGCGUAGAUAUCGGAAGGAACAUCAGUGGCGAAGGCGACCUACUGGGCUUUAACUGACGCUGAGGCUCGAAAGCAUGGGUAGCAAACCAGGAUUAGAUACCCUGGUAGUCCAUGCUGUAAACGAUGA